AACCAACCUCAUUUGUUUUACAUUGAAGCAGAAAAAAGUGCACCACUCUUCUGAUUCCACUUUCAAAUGCAACCAGAGAGGUCUGUCUAGCUUCCCAGAGUGCAGACAACACAUCGAAUAGCGUGUACCUGGAUGAUGUGGCCAGAGCAAUAAGCAGUGCUUGAAGAAUGCCUCUGAUAAAGACAACGGGGUUCUUCUUGGUGAUGAAGAAAUACAUCAUUGGCAGAAUAACAAGUCCGUGAAAGAAUAGUCCACAAAGAAUUAGGACUGUUCCUUAGAUACUAAAGGAAACCAACCCUGAUUGUUCUUUGAAGGACAGAUACUGAAGCUGAAGCUCAAAUACUUUGGUUGCCAAAUGAGAGGAGAGGAUCCAUUGGAAAAGACCUUGAUGUUGGAAAGAUUGAAGGCUAAAGGAGAAGGGGAUGGCAGAGGAUGAGAUAGUUAGAUAGUGUCAUCAACAUAAUGAACAUGAAUUUGGGCAAAAUCUGGGAGACAGUAGAGGACAGGGGAGCCUGGCAUGCUGUGGUCCGUGGGAUGGCAAAGAUUUAAUGACUGAACAACAACCUUUUAAUAGAAGCGACUGGGACUCUUCCAAUAUAUUUUAAAUAGACUGGUUUUCCAUGGUAAAUCAUUUUUCAAAAUUAACUUUGUUGAAAUGACCAAAAGAUAAGAUAAAGUGCUAUUUCACUAGAACAGGUGUUUAGGGUCAUAUCAAUUCUAGUAGUGUACAGGCCCUGACAGACAAUCUUGAUAUGUCACUAAACAAAUUAGUCUGUGCAUGGUGGCAAUAGUUGUUCUUUCCAUCGUGUUCUUGUAAAAACUUCAAACUACUGAUUUUGAAAUACUAGAUUUCAAAAAACAAUUUCUGCCCAUUUUGAAGCUACACUAUUGAACAUGAAAUUUGUGCUUCUGCAGUUCUCAUUAGUGUUGUAUGAUGCUUUUAUUGGUUAAUUGGAGGUGGGACCUUGGUGCUGAAGUCUUUCAAACUCUCCCAGCAGAUUUUAGAUGAUUAUUUAUAAUUAUUUUCAAAUGGAGACACUAAUCUCGAAGAUUACAGUGAUGAUACUUUUUUUUUUUAAACGGGACUAUUUGGGCAGCACAGAGAUCCAUGCCUGUAUAUUCAGAUUCUUCUGGAAGAUAUGCUGUUAUCCAUCUCAUAGUGAUGCCCUUAUAUUUCUUCAUCUCUUUCAUAUUCUCUCAUAAUCAAAUGGAACAAAUAAGCUGCUAAGACAAUAUCAGUAUUUAAUUCUGUAAAGCUAUUAACUGAAUACUGCUGAUCUUAGUUCUGCCGUAGCUUGUCUAUGGCAGCUAGGAAGAAUGUUUUAUUGCCAGUAAGGUCCCAUUAUGUUUCAAAGAGAUGGCAUGAUUUUCUUUCUUUUCCAUUUGCUGAGCUGAUGUAUUUCGUCUUGCUUGCCUUCAAGCUUUUUUGUGCAGCGGCCUUAAACUGCUUGCCUCCUGAGCAGAAAUGACUGGGAAUAAAGCUGGUUUAAGACA